rnacentral:misc_RNA from 1 species
GAAAAGGGGAAGCCAGAUCUCUGUUCCAAAUUUCAAAACUCUAAUCCUAAAAAGAAACAAUGGUAAUGACCCAAAUUUAGAAUUAGAGAAAAGAGAAACAAAUAAGAAUAGAAUCAAAUACAAUCCUAGGCAAGGAGUAAUCAACUUAUUCAGAAGACAUUUUAAGAAGAAGAUAAUUGAAUGUGUUGUAUAAAACAGUUACAGUUACAGUAAGUCAAAGCUCACUACAUGUGAAAACACGAGAAGGUGAUUCUUAAUACCAGCCACUGUAC